rnacentral:rRNA from 1 species
AUCAACGCUGGCGGCGUGCCUCAGACAUGCAAGUCGAACGCGAAAGCUCCCUUCGGGGGGCAAGUAGAGUGGCGCACGGGUGAGUAACACGUAGGUAAUCUACCUUUGGAUGGGGAAUAACACCGAGAAAUCGGUGCUAAUACCGCAUGACAUCGCGUGGUCUUCGACCGUGCGAUCAGCUGACAGCUUCGUUAAAGGUGGGAUCGCAAGACUCGGUAAGAGGGCCCGCGGCCGAUUAGCUAGUUGGUAAGGUAACGGCUACCAAGGCUCGAUGGUAACCGGCCUGAGAGGGCGGAUCGGUCCACAGUGACACUGAGACAUACGGGUCCAGCACUCCUACGGGAGGCAGCAGUCGAGGAAUCUUGCGGCAAUGGGGGAAAGCCCUGACCCAGCAACGCCGCGUGACGGAUGAAAUGCCUUCGGGAUCGUAAAGUCUGUCGCAAGAACGGGAAGAAUAAGGUCUGGUGCUGAAUAUCACCAGCGCUUGACGGUACCCAGUGUAAGCUCCGGCUAACUCCGUGCCAGCAGCCGCGGUAAUACGGAGGGGAGCCAGCGUUGCUCGGAUUAUUGGGCGUAAAGGGCGCGGUAGGCGGCACUUGCAAGUAAGUUGUGAAAUCUCCAGGGCUCAACCAUGGAACGGUCAAUCUGCAUACUGCCGAGGCUAGAGUCUGGAGAAGGGCAAGCGGAAUUCUCGGCUGUAGCGGUGAAAUGCGUAGAUAUCGAGAGGAACACCAGUGGCGAAGGCGGGCUUGCCUGGGACCACUGACGCUGAAUGCGCGAAAGCUAGGGGAGCGAACAGGAUUAGAUACCCUGGUAGUCCUAGCCUUAAACGAUGAAUGCCUUGGUGUUGGGGUUAUCGACCCUCCAGGUGCCGUAGCUAACGCAUUAAGUGCAUCCGCCUGGGGAGUACGGUCGCAAGACUGAAACUCAAAGGAAUUGACGGGGACCCGCUACAAGCGGUGGAGCAUGUGGUUUAAUUCGACGCAACGCGAAGAACCUUACCUGGGUUAGAACUGCCGUGACAGCUCCAGAGAUGGAGUCUUCUUUCGGGACGCCGGCAGAGGUGCUGCAUGGCUGUCGUCAGCUCGUGUCGUGAGAUGUUGGGUUAAGUCCCGCAACGAGCGCAACCCCUAUCCUUAGUUACCAACAGGUCAUGCUGGGGACUCUAGGGAGACUGCCCCGGAAAACGGGGAGGAAGGUGGGGAUGACGUCAAGUCCUCAUGGUCUCUAUGUCCCGGGCCACACACGUGCUACAAUGGACGGUACAAAGGGUUGCAAGACCGCGAGGUGGAGCAAAUCCCAUAAAACCGUCCCCAGUUCGGAUUGGAGUCUGCAACUCGACUCCAUGAAGGUGGAAUCGCUAGUAAUCGCGGAUCAGCACGCCGCGGUGAAUACGUUCCCGGGCCUUGUACACACCGCCCGUCACAUCACGAAAGUCGGCUGCACUUGAAGUCGUCUUGCCAACCCGCAAGGGGGGCGGGCGCCGAUGGUGUGGUCGAUGAUUGGGGUG